CCCUUAGAUGUUCUGGGCCGCACGCGCGCUACACUGAUGCAUUCAACGAGUUUCUUCCUGGUCCGAGAGGAAUGGGUAACCUUUUGAAAGUGCAUCGUGAUAGGGAUAGACUAUUGCAAUUAUUGGUCUUCAACGAGGAAUUCCUAGUAGACGUAGUUCAUCAGACUGCAUCGAUUACGUCCCUGCCCUUUGUACACACCGCCCGUCGCUCCUACCGAUUGAAUGGUCCGGUGAAGCCUCGGGAUUGUGGUUCUUGCCGCUUUAUUGUGGCGUGACCGCGAGAACUUGUCUAAACCUUAUCAUCUAGAGGAAGGUGAAGUCGUAACA
rnacentral:rRNA from 1 species